AUGGAGGAUGUUCAGAAAGAUUACAAGAGCCAGAAGCCUAGCAAAGACAACUUAGACGUGUGUGACCUGCAUCACCUAAGGAACAGGACAAAGUAUCGAGAGCAGCCUCCGACUUGGGAAAAUUGGACCAGAACAAUGGCUCUUCCAGUGCCUGUUCUUUCACUCCUGUUUUGUGUUGUGGAGAAGAAAUCUCCUUUAUGCAUAGAGAACUUUUCCUUGGUAACAGACCUGGAGCAUCCUGUGCAGAUUCCGUCCAGGGUCUGUCUUGUGAUAAUCGAGUCAGAAGCUUCCUGGGGACUUCCUUUCCUGCAAUCACAGCUCCUCUCCUACACACAGCAAGUUUCUAGUGCUGUUCUUGCCAUUAGCCCUACUGUGUGCAAAGUGCAUCCACACAGAAAUCUGCUGCAUCUCUGA
ensembl:lincRNA